AUUGAACGCUGGCGGCAGGCCUAACACAUGCAAGUCGAGCGAGCGGCGGACGGGUGAGUAAUGCCUGGAAAUUGCCCAGUCGAGGGGUAUCACAGUUGGAAACGACUGCUAAUACCGCAUACGCUUGGGUUCCCCAGGGGGGAUUAGCUAGUUGGUGGGGUCAUGGCUCACCCAGGCGACGAUCCCUAGCGGGUCUGAGAGGAUGAACAGCCACACUGGAACUGAGACACGGGCCAGACUCCUACGGGAGGCAGAAGUGGGGAAUAUUGCACAAUGGGGGAAACCCUGAUGCAGCCAUGCCGCGUGUGUGAAGAAGGCCUUCGGGUUGUAAAGCACUUUCAGCGAGGAGGCGUUACUCGCAGAAGAAGCACCGGCUAACUCCGUGCCAGCAGCCGCGGUAAUUC
rnacentral:rRNA from 1 species